rnacentral:rRNA from 1 species
AACGAACGCUGGCGGCAUGCCUAACACAUGCAAGUCGAACGAGACCUUCGGGUCUAGUUGCGCACGGGUGCGUAACGCGUGGGAACCUGCCCUUAGGUUCGGAAUAACUCCCCGAAAGGGGUGCUAAUACCGGAUAAUGUCUUCGGACCAAAGAUUUAUCGCCUUUGGAUGGGCCCGCGUUGGAUUAGCUAGUUGGUAGGGUAAAAGCCUAUCAAGGCUACGAUCCAUAGCUGGUCUGAGAGGAUGAUCAGCCACACUGGGACUGAGACACGGCCCAGACUCCUACGGGAGGCAGCAGUGGGGAAUAUUGGAAAAUGGGCGAAAGCCUGAUCCAGCAAUGCCGCGUGAGUGAUGAAGGCCUUAGGGUUGUAAAGCUCUUUUACCCGCGAUGAUAAUGACAGUACCGGGAGAAUAAGCACCGGCUAACUCCGUG